CCCAUGAUAGCUCAGUUGGGAGAGCGCCCGACUGAAGAUCGGAAGGUCGCGGGUUCGAUCCCGGCUCGUGGCG
rnacentral:tRNA from 1 species